GCAGGUAAAGUUUAUAUAGAAUGUUAGUUUUGUAAACUAAUGGAAAUAAUUUUAUUUAUUUGCCUGUU
rnacentral:tRNA from 1 species